UACAGAGGUGGCAAGCGUUGUUCGGAAUUACUGGGCGUAAAGGGCGCGUAGGCGGUCUUGUAAGUCUUGUGUGAAAUCCCUCGGCUUAACUGAGGAACUGCACGGGAUACUGCAUGACUUGAGAUCGGGAGAGGGAAGCGGAAUUCCGGGUGUAGCGGUGAAAUGCGUAGAUAUCGGAAGGAACAUCAGUGGCGAAGGCGACUUCCUGGACCAAUACUGACGCUCAGGUGCGAAAGCGUGGGGAGCAAACAGG
rnacentral:rRNA from 1 species